CGCACAUUGCGCCCUUUGGCAUUCCGAAGGGCAUGCCUGUUCGAGCGUCAUUAUCACCCCUCAAGCUUGGCUUGUUGUUAGGCUCUUGUCAGUAAUAUGACAGGUCUAAAAGAAAACGACGGUGUCUUCGAGACCCCUAGUACACUGAGCUUUUCACGAGGCACGUACUUUGGCGGGCUCAAGUCCCGGUCUACUUUUAUAUUUCUAAGGUUGACCUCGGAUCAGGUAGGAUUACCCGCUGAACUUAA
rnacentral:misc_RNA from 1 species